ensembl:antisense Gm20642 predicted gene 20642
GGGAAGGAGCUGAGGCUUGACACUGUAAGAGGCCAGGAGAGUCCACUGGUGAAGGUUCAGCUUCAGUGUCAGUUGAUCAUCGAGGACUGAAAGGGAUGUGGCAAAGAAGUUGAGGCUUAGCACCUUGAAGAACAUCUAUGAGAGAUGACUAGUUAAAGUUCAGCCCAUGUGCACCAGAAGACAUCAUUAUUUUGGAUAGAUGCAAGUACCAUGGGGGUAACCACCAAGACCUUAAGAAGCAGUGGAGUGGAGUCAGCCUAGAAGAAAAGCUUUGUGUGCUACAGAGGGUAGAGCUGGAGAAAUGACACAAAAUUCUCCAGUCUUCUUUGGAGAGACCCAGAAGAUUGUGUUGAUCCCAGACUUAGGACAUUGAGUUAAUUAUACUGAAGAAGCCUAGUUUUGUUUGGCUCAGAUUAUGACUGUGCCCUGGUUCUUUCUUCUUAAAGAAGGUUCCAGUCCUGCUUGAGUCCUGUCCUGACAGCCUCUAUUGAUCAACUAUGUUCUGGAAGUGUAAGCAGGUAAAUGAAGCCUUUCCUCCACUUUUUGGACAUGGUAUUUAGUUCCAGUGCAUGGACCUUGUUUUGUCAUACCACAGUGUUGACUCAUCUCAAGCAUACAGUUCUACGGGAAUGACCUUUGGACUGCAGUUCUACAAUGUUGACCUUUCCUCUGCAGUUUCACGGUGAUGACUUUGGGUCUGCAUUUUUAAGACCUUGGGUCUAUUACAGCAAAGUGUUCACCACAGACUAACAUGGACAACCUUUGAGCAUCUUCAUGACAAUGGUGCUAUAUGUAUGAAAACGUCUGAAAGAAAAUAUCCUUUCUACAUUUUGUUCUUCCAGCAGCUUUGCCAACUUUAUGCGUACCCUUUGAAUUUCAUUCUUCCUUCUUUCCAUGUUUAAUUAUAGUUUUUAUUUAGAAAAACAUAGCUUCUGAUUAUGUUCUACACUGACACUUAGAGAAGUUUGGUCCAGUUCAUCAUCUCUCAGCUAUCCCUGCAAUUCUUCCUUCUAGGAUCCUUGUAGUCACCCCAUACAACAACAUUUGCUCACUGAUUUUUAUUGUUUGUUUUUGCUUUUUUUAAUCAGGCAGAGUCCAAUUUCCUGACACUUCUCAUUUGAUUUCCUAGUACANNNNNNNNNNNNNNNNNNNNNNNNNNNNNNNNNNNNNCCUAACCUCAUGAUCAUGGCAAACUAAGGUUAUUUUCUGGCUCACUACUUAAAUUAAUGCCUCUAUUUUCCUCUUCCCAACUUUGUCUCAGUACAUCUAAAACCAUCAAAGAGACAAUAUAUUGUAAUGUCAGUGAUUAAGGAGAGAGCUUAUUCUGCAAUGAAAGGACUGCAAAGCUACAUUAUCUCCAUUGAGUCUAUUCAACUUUAUUUCUCAGUAUCUGUAUCUGGUAUAAGGAUACAAUAAAACCUAAUACAUAGGACUGUUGUAAAAACUAAGUAUAAUAGUUCAUGAAAAAUAUGUAAUAAACACUAUUUG